GAGACUUCAGGGCCCCGGGUUCUGGACUGAUCAAGUGUAGUAUCUGUUCUUAUCAGUUUAAUAUCUGAUACGUCCUCCAUGCGAGGACAACAUAUUAAACGGAUUUUUGCAACAGGGAGUCGGAACAGGGGCUCGCUCCGUCCGCUCCGCGCAUCGCCCCGGUAUUGCAGCGCCUCCGGGAAGGGUGCACUCUUU